GACGAACGCUGGCGGCGUGCUUAACACAUGCAAGUCGAACGAUGAAGCUAGAGCUUGCUCUGGUGGAUUAGUGGCGAACGGGUGAGUAACACGUGAGUAACCUGCCCCGAACUCUGGGAUAACUGCUGGAAACGGUAGCUAAUACUGGAUACGACCAACGAAGGCAUCUUCUGUUGGUGGAAAGAAUUUCGGUUCGGGGUGGACUCUCGGCCUAUCAGCUUGUUGGUGAGGUAACGGCUCACCAAGGCGACGACGGGUAGCCGGCAUGAGAGGGUGAUCGGCCACACUGGGACUGAGACACGGCCCAGACGCCUACGGGAGGCAGCAGUGGGGAAUAUUGCACAAUGGGCGCAAGCCUGAUGCAGCAACGCCGCGUGAGGGACGACGGCCUUCGGGUUGUAAACCUCCUUUAGUAGGGAAGAAGCGAAAGUGACGGUACCUGCAGAAAAAGCACCGGCUAACUACGUGCCAGCCGCCGCCGUAA
rnacentral:rRNA from 1 species